rnacentral:lncRNA from 1 species
UCGAAUCUUGGAUCGCUUGAGCAGUCCUCCACAGGUCGGUAGGAUUCUGCUUCUUCGAUACAAUUGCUUACUAAAUUAAAUAAAGUGUAGUAGUUCCCCAGUGUAGGAAACUACUACUUUGGCUAACUGAAAAAUGGAAAGGGAAAGGGAAUAACGAAAACUGUAAACGGAAUGGUAACUGAAUUGUGAUAAGGGAAAUAAUGUUGCUGAAGGAAAAUAAUGCUAGAAAGCUAAAAAUGCUGUAGAAAAUAAAUUGUCGAGAGAGAAAUUAAGCGUCCCAUUUUUU